rnacentral:misc_RNA from 1 species
UUUCCGUAGGUGAACCUGCGGAAGGAUCAUUAUUGGAUUUUGAAACUUCCGGCUGCUGCUGGCUCUCCUCGGAGGGCAUGUGCACGCUUGUUGUCCAUUAUUUCUCCCACUGUGCACAAAUUGUAGACCUUUCAGUAGGCCUAUGUUGUUUUUCACAAUCUCUGAAUGUAAUAGAAUGGUUUUGAAUCUUGGGAAAUACAAUACAACUUUCAGCAACGGAUCUCUUGGCUCUC